rnacentral:lncRNA from 1 species
AUGAAAGAAAACGAGAGAUGUGCAAAUCAAGUGUGUGGUUUAGGAGCUCCCACUGUGGCUCGGCAGGUUAAGAACCCGACCAGCAUCCAUGAGGACGUGGAAGCUGCCACUGUGGCUCAGCAGGUCUUAACAGCACUGGCAGCUUGUGCUGUAUGUUAUUACGUGACACCUGCUGCUGUGAGGCUCCAUAAAAAGCAAAAAAGGAGGGUGAGCAGGAGAUACAGGGGCCAGGAGAGACCUGCCUGCCACCCCCACCCCCGCCAGGCCCUCAGUCUGUCCAGUGACCACUCACCAGCCAGCAGUGUCCUGCCCCAGAGAGACUGGGAAGAUACAGGACAGACAGCGCGCCUCAUCACAAAUCCCCAGGGAUCAGAGGACACCCCAGGCAGCGUUCAUGCCUCAAGGCCGAAAGGGACCGCAGCUGCCCAGGCGGAGCGUGGCUGCCCUGCCCUCCAGCCCAACCCCCCCAGGCACAGCUGACACCUGAGCCAUGGGCCAGGACGGCCCUGCAGGGUUGGGCAUCAGUGUCUUGUAGCUACUUCAUUUGAGGGUCAAACACACGGAUGAAACACUCUGGUUCCAAAUUUCUAGCCUUAAUCCCUUUUUGUCCUGAGUGACCGUGAAGUCCUGCCUGGGCCACGUCGGUGUCCCUGGGGACACGCUGCCCUGAAAUUCUCGGCUACACAGCUGGUCAGCAAGACCAUCACCCCUGGGAGUGGGCAAGGCCCCCUGAGGUCUGUGUCCCCCCGAAGCAUGAACCCAAACGCUGGGAGAAAAAGAUCUGGACAUGAGUUUUGCUCCAGGCAGAGAACGCGAUUCUGAUUCAUCCAUCUAAUUCCUAAAAUAGGGCUCAGCAGGGCCCGGGCUUGGAGCAGAGGUGAGUCCUCUUCCCGCUGCCCCCCUCACUGAUGUCCACACUGAGGGCGGAUGGAGGGGGUCUCGGUGCUGAGCUCCCAGGGGAGCUUGAGCCCCACUUCGGGCCCUUCCUCUCAGACGGUGUGGCCCGGCCAGUGCCAGGACCCAGGGGACCUUCAGGGGACCGUGAAAAGAUUGCAAUUUUGUUUUCUUUUCUUUUUUUUUUUUUUUUUUUUUUAACAGCUGCACCUGUGCCAUAUGGAAGUUCCCAGGCUAGGGUUUGAAUCCGAGCUGCAGUUGCAGGCCUCCGCCACAGCCACAGCAACAUUAGAUUUGAGCCACAUCCGCGAGCUACACCACAGCUUGGGUCGACAUCGGAUCCUUAACCCACUGAGCAAGGCCAGAGAUCAAACCCACAUCCUCAUGGACACUCUGUCAGGUUCGUAACCCGCUAAGCCACAACAGAAACUCCUUAAUUUCUUUUCAAAUCAAAAGAAAAAGGAACACAAACUUUUAGGCUGGAGAAAAUGUUUUAACAUGUAACAUUAAUAUGUUCAUAUUUUUACCAACAUGGUUGUAAAGUUUAAUUUUAUGUGGACGAGAGGGGGCAUCUCGAAGGCAAAAGUGCCCAGGAGUCACGGACGUCUGAAUGCAGCCCUGAGCAGCCCGGAGGGGAGGGACCAGGGUUAGGCACACUUGCAAGUGGAUGGAAGAAAGCCCCCCUCCUUUUUGGCCCUGAAGAUGCAGCUUCUGCACCCCCCACCCCAGGACCCCUGCUUCCAUGUCACUCCCAGAGCUUCCUGCUGCCGAGAGGCUCUUUAAAAAUCAGGUCCAGGAGUUCCCGUUGUGGUGCAGUGGAAACAGAUCCAACUAGGAGCCAUGAGGUUGAGGGCUCAAUCCCUGGCCUCGCUCAGUGGGUUAAGGAUCUGGCAUUGCCGUGAGCUGUGGUAUAGGUUGCAGAUGCGGCUUGGAUCUGGCGUUGCUGUGGCUGUGGUGUAGGCCAGUGGCAACAGCUCCAAUUAGACCCCUAGCCUAGGAACCUCCAUAUGCCGUGGGUGUGGCCCUAAAAAAAUUAAAUUAAAUUAAAUUUUAAAAAAUUAGGUCCAGUUUGCAAAGGUUCUCACCCAAUCCCAGGUCCAGAAGGCACACGAGUCGAGAUAGGACAGCGGUGGGGGGCUGGGUGGGCAAAGAAAGCCAAGAACCUCCCCACCCCCCCCAACCCCCACCGAGACAAGCCCUACUGCAAUCCAUUUGCUCUCUUCCCAUCUGUAUUUGAAUAUUCACCAAACAUAAAGCCAUUUUCACCAUUUUCUAGGGUCUGAGUCCACAGCACCUAGCAAUUCCCAGUGUGGUGCAGCCAUCACUGCUCCCCAAUUCCAGAACAUUCUCAUCCUUCCAAAAGGAAACCCCACACCUGCUAAGCAGUCACCCCCCCCAGCCCCCCCACCCCCAGGCCCUGGCAAUCACUAAUCUGCUUUCUGUCCCUACACACUUGCCUAUUCUGGAAUAUUUUCCAUCAGCGGAUUCAUACAAUGUGUGGUCCUUUGGUUUCUGGCUUUCACCGGGCAGAGCUUUCAAGGCUCCUCCUGCUGUAGCACCAACCAUCUGUACUGAUUCUUUCUAUGGCUGAACACCAUGCCGUUAGAGGCUAACGUUCAUUUUUCUCCUCCCUUUGCAGCAACAAGAGCCCUCAGAAGAGACAGCAAAAACCUCUCUGAUUGACCUCAUCCAACCUCAGUUCAAGGGCUCAACUCGGUAAGAGACACCGGUCUUAAAAACAGAGAAGGGGGUGACGACAUUUUUGGGGGGGCACUGAGCCCUGGCCUGGAAUUGAACCCACAUCACAGCAGUAAUAAGGCCUGAUCCUUUAAUCCUUAGGCCACCAGGGAACUCAGCAGUGACAUUUUUAAACUGCAGAAUGUGCAAAAUCAGACACACAGACAAGCCGUACAAAUAUCUACUCUCUUUGGCAUGUGCCCUCAUGCCCUUCCUCGGGUCCAUCACCCAGGGCCCCAGGGAGCCGAGGACUGAUUCUGCACUUCGAUGAGGGGUUCUAGAAGGGGCAAGGUGAGCGGGGGUGUGCCCGUCUCCGCCAGAAGCCCAUUUCACCUGACACACUGGCAAAGCUGGCUGCUGGCUCCCAGCCACCCUCACCCCCGAAGGUGGAAGGAACCAGCCAUGUGUUCUGGGGAAAACAAAGUCAGAAAGGGGCCGGCGGGCAGGAGAAAGAGGAGGGGGAGACGGCAGGGCCGCGGGGAGGCAGGGGCAGCAGAGAGGCAGCAUCCUGCCCAAAAUGAAGGAGCUCCUAUUUGAAGGGAAGGAGGAUGAGAGCAGCCGAGCGGACGGCCCAGAGGAAGAGGAGCAGGCUGACCAAGUCCACGGGCUCCCGCUGCCCUCCCCCCACACACACACACCUGGCUGGCAGAACCAGGAACCUGGGGGACCCAUCUCUGCCCUGUCCCCCAACCUCAUGGAGUUUCAAAGAACCAGAUGAGGGUUAGGACUGCCAGCUCGGACACGCAAGUCAGUUUGGGUGUUUCUAUGACGGAAAAGAGAAAAAAAAAGGUACGAAGGUUCAAGGAUGUUUGUGGCAGCCUUGUGGCGAGAAAGGGAAACCCAGCAGUCCCAGCUCGGGGACUCGGUAGGAAAACAGGGCUCACUGACUCCCUGGUCCUUGUGCCUUGAAGGACCAUCACCACGGCUGAGUCACAAGAAAACCACCCUUGUUAUAAAAGUGAAAGAUGAGAAGAGAAUCCACAGUCUGGGUAUGCGGGACCCGCAGGACACAGACACCUGGUCAACAGCUCUAAGGAGACAUCAGCACAGUCCGUCUUCAAGGCACUGUCACGUGUCCACGGUUUCUUUGUCUUUUCCUUUCUGUGUGUGCAGCAUCUUUUUAGGACCACAUCCAUGGCAAAUGGACGUUCCCAGGCUAGGGGGUCGCAUCGAAGCUGUAGCUGCCGACCGACGCCCCAGCCACAGCCACAUGGGAUCCGAGCCACGUCUGUGACCUACAUGGCAGCUCGCAGCAACAGCAGAUCCUAAACCCACUGAGCGAGGCCAGGGAUCGAACCCCAGUCCUCAUGGACGCCUCAUUCGGGCUGGUUACCACCGAGCCACAGUGGGAACACCCACAUUUUCUGAUACUGUUUUAAGAUCGCGGCCGCCGUGAGGAUGAAUGAAACCGGCCUCCACAUCCACCACCUGCAAAUCGUUUGCCUUAACAUCGCCCUUCACUUUCUCUCCUUGCAUGGAAGUCAUUCCUUAGAACUCUCUUGGAAUAAAAGCCGGCCGCCCCUUCCACACAUGUGUGCGUGUGUAUACACGCGCAUGUGCGCGCGCACACACACACACACACACACACACACUUGGCAGUGCCCCUCAGCCAUUCUCAGGCCUGGACCAUGGGUGGCACCUGAGGCCAGGCCAUCAGCACAGGGAGCCCCGGCC